rnacentral:lncRNA from 1 species
AGUAGAAGAAGUAGCCGUUGUUUACAACAUGGCAGCGACGGCGAGACUGUGUGUCUACUUCUCCUAUUUCUCCUUGAGGAAGAGGAAAUUUGUUGUCGUUUGUUACUACUGAGACGGAAAAGAAACCAAAGGUGGUCGACUCUUCCUUUAAAUCGUAGGAGCCAACCUUCCAGGAACUACAGUCCCUGUACCACAUGUGUUCCUGGCUGAUGCUGCAUUUCCUCUUCAACAAAACCUGAUGCGGGAAUUAACUGCGGUCAAAUCAGCCGCACGUUGUUUUCUUGUGCGCGAAUACACUAACACUUACGCAGCUCUGCAGGGCGCUCAUUGUGAUUACCGUAAGUGUUAGUGUAUUCGUGCACAAGAAAACAACGUGCGGCUGAUUUGACCAGGCAAACGCGAACCACGGCUGGCUUGACCGCAAUGGGAAACCCCAGGAAAAAACCUCAGCGAUGCCCAGCAAAUCUACAACUACCAUCAUUAACGUGCCAAGAGGGUGAUAGAGAACAGCUUCAACAUCCUGGGACGACCGAUGGAAUUCCACCCACAGAAAACUGAAGGCCUGUGUAGGCCUGCACAAUUAUUUAAGCAGCACAGAUGCUACCAACUCCCCAGCAACUAGUUCCAUCCCUCCCAGAUUCACAGACUUCUCUACACACGCAGGGGUGAUCCUGUGAGUGGAGGGCAGUGGGAGCAGGCCACAACAACUUGUUGGACAUUGGCUGUCUCAGCAAAGCACGAGCUAGAUCUCAGGUCAUUGUUCCUGACACCACAGGGUUUUGUUCCCUGGCAGGAGAAUGUAAUCAGAAGGUAUGCUGAACAAGAAUGAAGAAAAUACAGGACUGCAGUGAAUUAGAAAUACAAAACUGUUUUUAUUGCAACACACUAACAAAUAAAAAAAAAAA